UAUAACUAGUUCGCUUAUACACUGUUACUAUAUUAUACAAACAAAAUUGAUCUGCGCAAAUAUAUUGAGAAUAUAAGAAUACCAUAUUUUCAUUCACUCAUAUUUAAUUAAACAACAUAAAGUUUUGCAGUACAAGAUAUCAAACGACAAAAUGAAGAUUCAGUUUUUUUACAUAGGCCUUCUUAUGGCUGGGAAUGUAGUUUUUGGGGAAGAAGUUUGUUGGGCACCGAUGCUUUGUAAAGACCAAACAGUGCCAUCGUGGGUAAAACGAAAUGUCGGCGCUACAGGCAAUACCGAGGAGGACAAAUGCGCAGGAAGAGUCGAAGCGUUGGAAGG